rnacentral:rRNA from 1 species
GACGAACGCUGGCGGCGCGCUUAACACAUGCAAGUCGAACGAAAAGAGCCUGCUUGGGUGUGUAUCUCGAGUGGCACGCGGGUGUAUAACACGGGCAUACCCCGCCCUUCAUUUGGGUAUAACUUCGAAAAAGUGGGGAUAAUACAAGAUAUCAACACCUGCGCCUGGGUGGGGGGUGGAAAGUUUCGGCGGGUGGGGAUGGACCCGCGGCUUAUCAGCUUGUUGGUGGGGUAGUGGCUUACCAAGGCUUUGACGGGUAGCCGGCUUGAGAGGGUGACCGGCCAGAUUGGGACUGAGAUACGGCCCAGACUCCUACGGGAGGCAGCAGUGGGGAAUAUUGCACAAUGGGCGGAAGCCUGAUGCAGCGACGCCGCGUGCGGGAUGAAGGCCUUCGGGUUGUAAACCGCUUUCGCCUGGGACGAGGCGUAAGUGACGGUACCUGGAAAAGAAGCCCCGGCUAACUACGUG